rnacentral:lncRNA from 1 species
AGGCGCUCACACCAGCCUCCUCGCCCUGUUUGUGCUCGCGGCUUGCGCUGUGGCGCAGCCUCCCGUGGCCGCGGGGACUCUCAGAACGCACCCCUGGAGGGUGGGCCCCAACAGCCCUGAGCACUCUCCAGCCUCGGAGCACUCGCGCCUCUCCAGAUGCAUCUACCCUCCCUGUCUGGGUGCAUCCCUAUUCCCGGGCUGACCGAGCAUGAGCACAGCUGGGGGCUGGGGCAGGUGUUGAGGGCCCCCUCCCCCCCAUUCCACCCUCCACACAAAUGCUCAGUCCCAGUGACUCAGGAGGAUAGUUGGAAGCAUGCCAGACCUAGACUUGGGAGACCUGGAAUGUGGUCACGUGACGACAGAAGCCCGCUUUGAGGGGACCAAUUCAAGCGAUCCCCAGAGGAGCCUCUUCUCUUUCUCACCCCACCCCUUGAUCCGUCACAGACUUUGGGAGCACGGAGACUCCAGGGAUUCCCGGAGCCCUCAACCAAGUCCGGCCUUUUUGGAAAGCUUGGGAAGCCCCUGGCAGGAUGCUGAGAGGAGGAAGAGCCGAGUGGGAGUGGUGGAGCAAGGGCAGGGUGGCGCAAGAGGACCCCAAAGGCUCUGCCUAUUGUUCAGCCCCCAACACUGGUGUGUUACUGAGAGCGGUCAUUUCUCUCAGCCUGUCCUGCAAAGACGACACCAAGUGCUGGCUCCUCUCCAAAGAGGGGCCUGUGUGCUGAGCCUGAGCCCCUACCGCUCUGGGGUGGUCCCGCUAAGGAUGUCACGAAAAGUCGUUCAGAUUCUGGGCUUCCCCCAUCCUUUGGCCUGCAGAGCAAAAAGCCGAGCUUCCAGGAGAGGUAUGAGACGGCUGUGGGUGCUCCAGGCCCCUCUCUGCAACUCCUGCAAGUUGCUGCGGACCGGAGGAUGACUGAGACGCAGCCUACUGCCUGUUGACAUCAGAGUUGGCGCUCCCAGGAGCGAGAGGAGGGUUAGGAACCAACAAUUCUUCUCUGAAAAUUCAGUUUAAAAUGGAUUUCAGGAUUUCUUAUUCAGAACACGGACGCUCUCCUUGUGAGUCACUGAGAUGGAGCUCUGUAUAGAGCAUCUACAGCAUGCAAAAGGCCCAGGUUUCAAUUCCCAGUAUGGUUUAUUUUUAUUUACUUAAGAUUUCUGUCCUGAAAAAACUAUUUUGACUGGACAUAGCCUAUUUAAAAGGAAAUAAAGUUUGAGUCGGGUGUAGUGGCGCACCCUUUAUUCCCAAUACCCGGGAGGCAGAGGCAGG